rnacentral:lncRNA from 1 species
CCCCUUGCAGCUCAGCAGCAAGCGUAUAAACGGUGAACAGGUCCCACCAACCCUGUGAUGGGGACACCACUGCAUCACUUACCCCAGGACGAGCAGAGGCCUUCAAAGAGGGUAGAUGGGAGAAAAGGGCUGGGCAGGAACCCUCCUUUGAUGAAGCAUGAAAGAAAAAGGAGAUUUAAGACUGUUCAUUGUUGAAAUAACUGCAGCUCUGCUCACAAGCAGUGUAACUAUUAACAUAUAUUUACAGGUCUCUGCCUGGGAGGUAUAUUCAUGAAGCAGGGAUGCAUUUCACACCAUCACAGUCUACAACAAAAUUCAGAAUGUUUUCCAGAUCAAAAUCUACCUGACGGUGAGUCGCAUUGAGCCAGGGUGAUGAGAAGUUCACUCUGCAUCUUUCCCGGUAGGUUCGCUCCCCGGCUCUGCACAGCUGGGCAAGGCCCAGCCUCCGUCUUCAGAGGCUUUGUUGGCAUCAGCCAUAUCUGGGCUCGCACUCCUCCCCUGCCGCUUGCUAACUGCUACUGGGAGAGCCCUGGACUUUAGUGCACAUUGGGUCACAUCCUGUGGUCGGUCAUCUGAAGGCCAGAAUUCUGACGCUUACUGGCCAAGUUGUGCUCCCUGGCUGGGCUGGGGGCCCUGGACCCGGGACACAGCCUCCUGGGUGGUCCUUGCAGGUUCUUCCCCCUCUGUGGGGCUCUGCAGAGGAUACGCUCCAAGUCCUUACUCUCCAUGGAACACAAGUCACUGUCUUCUUCUCCAGUCUUGUCUCCUCUCCCCAGGCACUUGCCCCUCUGCCCUUCCUUUAAGGGAGGGUCCCACUCAUCUCCCUUCCCUGGGUCUCUCUCCACUGGGGUUAGGGGGACACAGACCAGCCGGACAUCCAUCACUUGUUUUCUUAUCCACUCAUUCACCUGCCUAUGUUUGCGUUCACACCUGGGGAACAGAGCGGAAGACAGGCCCUUUUAGUGGAGAAAAGAACUCUCCUGGAAAUCCCAUCUAG